AGUGAACGCUGGCGGUAGGCCUAACACAUGCAAGUCGAACGGCAGCACAGAGGAGCUUGCUCCUUGGGUGGCGAGUGGCGGACGGGUGAGGAAUACAUCGGAAUCUACUCUGUCGUGGGGGAUAACGUAGGGAAACUUACGCUAAUACCGCAUACGACCUACGGGUGAAAGCAGGGGAUCUUCGGACCUUGCGCGAUUGAAUGAGCCGAUGUCGGAUUAGCUAGUUGGCGGGGUAAAGGCCCACCAAGGCGACGACCCGUAGCUGGUCGGGAAGGAUGAGCAGCCAAGCGGGAACGGAGACACGGCCCAGGCUCCUACUGGAGGAAGCAGGGGGGAAUAUUGGACAAUGGGCGCAGGCCUGAUCCAGCCAUACCGCGUGGGUGAAGAAGGCCUUCGGGUUGUAAAGCCCUUUUGUUGGGAAAGAAAUACAUCUGGUUAAUAUCCGGGUGGGAUGACGGUACCCAAAGAAUAAGCACCGGCUAACUUCGUGCCAGCAGCCGCCGUAA
rnacentral:rRNA from 1 species